UGGGGACCGAGGAAGAGGAACGUGGCUGCAGCCCCCGGAAUAAAGAUAACCAAGAACUGCCUCCUUCCUUGCCAGCUGCCCAGACACAGCAGCCCAGCCCAGCAGUGAGAGAAACAACACAGCACUAAUGAAGAAGCCUUGAUCUGACACUCGCAGCCAGCAGUGAAGCGAUCGAUUUUGCUUCAUGCCCAGACUGACUUCGGUCCCGGCAGGCAGUGAAUUCGUUCUGGGAUUGCCCGCCCUGACACUUGUUUCAGCCUGCUGCCACUACCCCGCUCCCGCUCCCGCCCCCUGACUGAAGAUCCCGCCUGUGGGGGAGCAUUUAUACAGUCCGGGUUCGCUUAGCCAGGACAUCAUCCCACUCCGUGCUCUCGACCCGGGGAUGGAAAUCUGGGCCAUAAGAGCUCAAAAGCAAGGAAGCUAUGAUAAAGCUGUAGAAAGUAUUGGUUCAGUCUCAACCGGACAGCACACUUUAAGAAGGUCGUGAAGACUUUAGAGAAGAUGCAGAAAAGAUUUACGAGAGCGUUUCUAGGGAUGAAGUAGAGAAGAUUGAGAAGAGGAAAUUUGAUAGUAAUGUUUAAAAUCAUGAAUAAUUGUCACAAAGAGAUAUU